rnacentral:tRNA from 1 species
UCCUCCAUAGCUCAGUGGCUAGAGCGUCCAACCGGCGCCUGGAAGGUCAUUGGUUCGAUUCCCGUUGGGGAGGGAG